GGCGGUUGCUGGGAGCCUCGUGCUGGUUGGUGCCGGGGCUGCAGUGGCCUGGAAAGUCGUGAAGGGAAGGCAGGGGGGCAGGGGCCCCGCCAGGGCUGGACGGUGCCAAGGGACUGGAGACGGGCAGGUCUGUCACUCCUCCGAGCAGCCAGAGUCUACGGCGCCCUCCCACAGACAGAACGCAACCAGGGAAGGGGGAGCCCUUGAGAAGAAAGGGAGAGGAGGAGGAGGAGGAAGAUGCUACAGGGAGAGAGGCGACGGGGAACAAUUCACAGAGGAAAACAUCUACGCCAACAUCUAAGGCCAGAGAGGGGGACAGGGUCACUGCAGGGAGUGAGCUAAAGAGAGACUGGUGUUAGCGGUGGGAUAGCCAGUCUGCCUUGUGGCUAAGAUGCUAGCCUGGGACACCGGACGCCUGGGUCCUAUUCUCAGCUCUGCUAUGGAAUGCUUGUGUGACCCUGGGCAAGUCCCCGCCCCCCUCUGUGCCUCAGUUUCUCAGCUGUAACAUGGGGAGUAUAUCACUGCAUUUGGCU